rnacentral:rRNA from 1 species
CCUACGGGCGGCUGCAGUGGGGAAUAUUGGGCAAUGGGCGCAAGCCUGACCCAGCAACGCCGCGUGAAGGAAGAAGGCUUUCGGGUUGUAAACUUCUUUUGGCAGGGACGAAGCAAGUGACGGUACCUGACGAAUAAGCCACGGCUAACUACGUGCCAGCAGCCGCGGUAAUACGUAGGUGGCAAGCGUUAUCCGGAUUUACUGGGUGUAAAGGGCGUGUAGGCGGGAAUGCAAGUCAGAUGUGAAAAGUGUGGGCUCAACCCACAGACUGCAUUUGAAACUGUAUGGCUUGAGUGCAGGAGAGGCAAGCGGAAUUCCGUGUGUAGCGGUGAAAUGCGUAGAUAUACGGAGGAACACCAGUGGCGAAGGCGGAUUGCUGGACUGUAACUGACGUUGAGGCGCGAAAGCGUGGGGAGCAAACAGGAUUAGAUACCCUAGUAGUC